AAGCUGCUUUAGAUAAGUUAAAUCAAACAGGCCAAAUUAUUUUUUUUAAAUUUAUUUUAAGCACAAAAUGACUUUAAGCUGAACAAUCAAACACUCAAAAAAGCUAAAAAAAAAAAAAAAAAAAAAAAGUUUAUAAGCAACUUAUAAUCCAAACGGGCUCAAAGUUCACGCAACUUCCUUUCUUCAUCCGUUCAAAUCAUCAUCUCCUUUUAUUUCCCUUCCUUUUUUCUCUUUCUCUCUAACUAAACAAUGACAGAAAAUGCAAGCUCAGGCUCGGGAAAUUCUAAUUCCCGUGUGAAGGAAGAGUUUGUGUUGAAGUUAAGAUAUGACGAACACAGGCGGACUGGAACGGACAGAAAGAAAAAAACCCAAGAAAAGAAAGAACAAGGAGAUUGAAGAAAAAGAGAAAGAGUAUAAUGCCGCAAGAUUUCUCUAUAAUGAAACUUCAUCCGAUGAUGAAGAAGGGAAAGUUGAAGAAAAAGAGAAAGAGUAUAAUGCCGCAAGAUCUCUCUAUAAUGAAACUCCAUCAGAUGAUGAAGAAGAGAAAAGUAAGAGGUUAUUGUUUUCUCGGGAUGGAAAGAAAAAAUCCAAAAAAAGAAAAAACAAGGAUGUUGAAGAAAAAGAGUCGAUUAGAGAGGAAGAGGACAAAAGCACAAUGUUACUUUACAAUGAAACUCUAUCCGAGCAAAGUGAACUGCCUUCUCCGAAGAGGUCAAAACAAAGAAGCCUCCCCCUUUUUCAAAAGUGUGGAGUGAUAAAGAUGAAAUUACGGUACUCAAAGAUAUGAUUAAGUUCAAGAAAUAAACAGGCCGUGAUGCCGCACAAAAUAUGUUGGAAUUUCAUCCUCUUGUGCUUAAAUCACUUGUUCUUAAGGCUACUCGGGUUCGAUUAAGGAAAAAAGUACGACUACUGAAGAAAAAAUAUGAAAAGAGUGUUGAGACUGGAAAUGGUUAUAAAACCGUGCAUGAAGAGGUAUUGUUCCAGUUAUGUGAGAAAAUUUGGCCGGUUAAUUCCAAGUCAUCAUCUGGAACCGGGCAGCCGGAACAGCCUAAUUCAUCUGGAACCAGGCAGCUAGAACUGCCUAACUCAUCUGGAACGGGGCAGCGGGAGCAACAGAAUGUACUGGUUAAUGGGCAGUGGGAGAAGCAGAACCUUCCAAAAAUCGGGCCGCUGGGACAGGGGUCUAGACAACAUAUCAUUAUCCCGGAAAAAGGACUGAAUGGGCAAGCCUUGGAAGCUUUGUUCGAGCGACUAUCGAAAGAUAUGGAACUUGUUAUAAAUUCACAGGCAUGUUUGCGCGGAUAUCAAAAGGAAGUUGAUAUGAAAAAGUUUGAUCUUUAGUUAGAUAGUUUGAAUUUAAGGAUAAAGUUUGAGGCAUUGGUGCUGGAGAAAGCGAAUUCGCCAGAGUUGCGAGAUUCUCCAGAGCUACUGGAACAAGAAAUAAUAAGGGCCUACCUGGAAGCGAAGCUAGAUCUCACACAACAACUUUUAAAUGCUUAUAAUAGUUUCAGUAAGGCUCCUCCUAAGAAGAUUGUUGCAUCUUCAAGUAAGAAUGGUGUCGGUUCUAAGAAGAAAGAUGAUUCGAGUGAUGACUCUAGUUCUGAGAAAGAUAGCAGUUCUGAAGAAGAGGCUCCUCCUAAGAAGGUUGUUGCAUCUUCAAGUGAGAAUGGUGUCGCGACUAAGAAGAAAGAUAAGUUGAGUGAUGAUUCUAGUUCUGAGAAAGAUAGCAGUUCUAAAGAAGAGGAUCAUCGUGAUGAAGCAUGACGGUGCCCAUCAUCCGUGUCUGCUAUCAAUAGCUGAAGCUUAUGGGUUCCGCAUUCUAUAUCAAAUUGUCCUUGUUUUGUGUUAGCAUUGACAACUUGCUUUUCUUGUUUUUUGCUAGCGUACCGUAUGUAUAUAUCUUUUUUUCCAGACUGCUUCUAGGAUUAACUCUUUGAAGUUUUAAAGCACGUUUGAUGCUCCUA